rnacentral:lncRNA from 1 species
CUGAGGCAUCAUAGAUGUCUAAUGGUUAGGUCCUUGAUCUUUGAUCAUGUCAAAGGCAUUCCUUCGGAUUGUCCACGGCAUUGUUGGGGUCAAGCUACCUAGCCAUGUAGGCAUAUGAAUGCACAACAAGGGAUCUCUAACCUUCCAUGGUGGAAGGAGAAUACUCUAAGAUAUGCUUCUAAAGUCUUUGGCCAAAGCAUAUGAAUAUGACUUAGGAAGUUUGUUCCAAAUCAUAUUCAAGGGAAUCAUAUAGGAAAGUAUCACAUUGGAU